GACGUAGGGCGCGAGCGUUGUCCGGAUUUAUUGGGCGUAAAGAGCUCGUAGGCGGCUUGUUGCGUCGACUGUGAAAACCCGGGGCUCAACCCCGGGCCUGCAGUCGAUACGGGCAGACUAGAGUGCGGUAGGGGAGACUGGAAUUCCUGGUGUAGAGGUGAAAUUCGUAGAUAUCAGGAGGAACACCGGUGGCGAAGGCGGCUACCUGGACCGGUACUGACGCUGAGACACGAAAGCGUGGGGAGCAAACAGG
rnacentral:rRNA from 1 species